rnacentral:rRNA from 1 species
AUGGCGAUUGCCGGCAGCGGGAGGGGCAAGGCGAAGCCCGCGGCCAGCGCCAAGUCCGUGUCCCGGUCUUCCAAGGCCGGCCUCCAGUUCCCCGUCGGCCGCGUCGCCCGGUACCUCAAGGUCGGCAAGUACGCGCAGCGCGUCGGCGCCGGCGCCCCCGUCUACCUCGCCGCCGUCCUCGAGUACCUCGCCGCCGAGACCCUGGAGCUGGCCGGGAACGCGGCGCGGGACAACAAGAAGAACCGGAUCGUGCCGCGCCACAUCCAGCUGGCGGUGCGCAACGACGAGGAGCUGAGCAAGCUGCUGGGCUCGGUCACCAUCGCCGCCGGCGGGGUGCUGCCCAGCAUCCACAGCACGCUCCUCCCCAAGAAGGCCGGCAAGGGCAAGGGCGACAUCGGCUCCGCUUCCCAGGAGUUCUAG